AGAGUUUGAUCCUGGCUCAGGACGAACGCUGGCGGCGUGGAUUAGGCAUGCAAGUCGAGCGACGGUGAGGAUUCGUCCUCAUACGGAGCGGCGAACGGGUGAGUAACACGUGAACAACCUGCCCUCACAUUCCGGAUAAUUGGUCGAAAGGCCUUGUAAUACGGGGGAGGAUGAUUUUGGGGCAUCUCAAGAUCAGGGAACGAGCAAUCGGUGCGAGGAGGGGUUCGCGGCUUAUCAGGUAGUUGGUGAGGUAAUGGCUCACCAAGCCGACGACGAGUAGCUGGUCUGAGAGGAUGGUCAGCCACAUUGGAACUGAGACACUGUCCAGACUCCUACGGGAGGCUGCAGUCGAGAAUCUUGGUCAAUGCACGAAAGUGUGAACCAGCGACGCCGCGUGAAGGAUGAAGGCCCUCUGGGUCGUAAACUUCUUUUAUUGGGGAAGAAUCAAUGACGGUACCCAAUGAAUAAGCCACGGCUAACUACGUGCCAGCAGCCGCGGUAAUACGUAGGUGGCAAGCGUUGUCCGGAUUUACUGGGCGUAAAGCGAACGCAGGCGGACCUUUAAGUAGGAAGUGAAAGGUUGGAGCUCAACUCUAACACUGCUCCCUAUACUGGAGGUCUUGAGUAGCGGAGAGGAAAACGGAACAAGUUGUGUAGCGGUGAAAUGCGUUGAUAUAACUUGGAACACCAAUGGCGAAAGCAGUUUUCUGGACGCAGACUGACGCUGAGGUUCGAAAGCCAAGGUAGCAAACAGGAUUAGAUACCCUAGUAGUCC
rnacentral:rRNA from 1 species